GAUGAACGCUGGCGGCGUGCCUAAUACAUGCAAGUCGAGCGAAUGGACGAGAAGCUUGCUUCUCUGAUGUUAGCGGCGGACGGGUGAGUAACACGUGGAUAACCUACCUAUAAGACUGGGAUAACUUCGGGAAACCGGAGCUAAUACCGGAUAAUAUUUUGAACCGCAUGGUUCAAAAGUGAAAGACGGUCUUGCUGUCACUUAUAGAUGGAUCCGCGCUGCAUUAGCUAGUUGGUAAGGUAACGGCUUACCAAGGCAACGAUGCAUAGCCGACCUGAGAGGGUGAUCGGCCACACUGGAACUGAGACACGGUCCAGACUCCUACGGGAGGCAGCAGUAGGGAAUCUUCCGCAAUGGGCGAAAGCCUGACGGAGCAACGCCGCGUGAGUGAUGAAGGUCUUCGGAUCGUAAAACUCUGUUAUUGGGGAAGAACAUAUGUGUAAGUAACUGUGCACAGCGUGACGGUACCUAAUCAGAAAGCCACGGCUAACUACGUG
rnacentral:rRNA from 1 species